CUCGGAGCUGUGGUACUCUCUAACAUUACUGUGUAUUCGGUUCAGCUUUGUAAUAACCCCCGCUUCUCUCCUGCCUCCUCCCGCUGUUUGUCUAAUAAACAUUUCUUCCGUAACCACAUGAGCCCACAUUGUCCCGUAUCACACAAAAACCCCUUUAUGAUACACUUAGCUGAGUUUUAGCUUCGGAAGUACCAGACAGUUCGUGAUGUAAGUGUUGUCCCAGGUGCACCGUUACAGACUCCGCCGGUGUCAUUCAGGUGUGGUGCUGUGUUGCACCUUUUAUGGUAUACUAGUCUCUUGGGAGAGAGGGAAGUUCAGGGCAGG